rnacentral:rRNA from 1 species
AGUGAACGCUGGCGGCAGGCCUAAUACAUGCAAGUCGAACGGCAGCACAGCAGAGCUUGCUCUGUGGGUGGCGAGUGGCGGACGGGUGAGGAAUACAUGGGAAUCUGCCCAGUCGUGGGGGAUAACGUAGGGAAACUUACGCUAAUACCGCAUGCGCCCUUCGGGGGAAAGCCGGGGACCUUCGGGCCUGGCGCCAUUAGAUGAGCCCGCGUCUGAUUAGCUAGUUGGUGAGGUAAUGGCUCACCAAGGCGACGAUCAGUAGCUGGUUUGAGAGAAUGACCAGCCACACUGGGACUGAGACACGGCCCAGACUCCUACGGGAGGCAGCAGUGGGGAAUCUUGGACAAUGGGCGCAAGCCUGAUCCAGCCAUGCCGCGUGAGUGACGAAGGCCUUAGGGUUGUAAAGCUCUUUUGGCGGGGACGAUAAUGACGGUACCCGCAGAAUAAGCCCCGGCUAACUUCGUGCCAGCAGCCGCGGUAAAGCUAACG